AGCUUUGCGCAGUGGCAGUAUCGUAGCCAAUGAGGUUUAUCCGAGACACGAUUAUUGCUAAUUGAAAACAUACACAAAGUAAGAAUUAAAAGAUUUUCUUAAAGGGAACAGAUUAGAAUGCCAAAUAUUAGAAAAGGGUUAUGAUUA
rnacentral:sRNA from 1 species